rnacentral:rRNA from 1 species
UACGAAGGGGGCUAGCGUUGUUCGGAAUUACUGGGCGUAAAGCGCGCGCAGGCGGCUAUCCAAGUCAGUGGUGAAAGCCCGGAGCUCAACUCCGGAACUGCCAUUGAAACUGUUUAGCUUGAGGAUGAGAGAGGUGAGUGGAAUUCCCAGUGUAGAGGUGAAAUUCGUAGAUAUUGGGAAGAACACCGGUGGCGAAGGCGGCUCACUGGACUGGUAUUGACGCUGAGGUGCGAAAGCGUGGGGAGCAAACAGG